rnacentral:rRNA from 1 species
AUUGAACGCUGGCGGCAUGCCUUACACAUGCAAGUCGAACGGCAGCACGGGGCAACCUGGUGGCGAGUGGCGAACGGGUGAGUAAUGCAUCGGAACGUACCUUUCAGUGGGGGAUAACGUAGCGAAAGUUACGCUAAUACCGCAUAUUCUGUGAGCAGGAAAGCAGGGGAUCGCAAGACCUUGCGCCGAUUCAGCGGCUGAUGUCAGAUUAGCUAGUUGGUGAGGGAAAGGCUCACAAAGGCGACGAUCUGUAGCGGGUCUGAGAGGAUGAUCCGCCACACUGGAACUGAGACACGGUCCAGACUCCUACGGGAGGCAGCAGUGGGGAAUUUUGGACAAUGGGGGCAACCCUGAUCCAGCCAUGCCGCGUGAGUGAAGAAGGCCUUCGGGUUGUAAAGCUCUUUCGGCCGGGAAGAAAUCGCACGGGCUAAUACCCUGUGUGGAUGACGGUACCGGAAUAAGAAGCACCGGCUAACUACGUGCCAGCAGCCGCCGUAAGAC